UACGUAGGGUGCGAGCGUUAAUCGGAAUUACUGGGCGUAAAGCGUGCGCAGGCGGUUCGCCAAGUCAGGUGUGAAAUCCCCGGGCUUAACCUGGGAACUGCGCUUGUUACUGGCAGACUUGAGUGUGGCAGAGGGGGGUGGAAUUCCCAGUGUAGAGGUGAAAUUCGUAGAUAUUGGGAAGAACACCGAUGGCGAAGGCAGCCAUCUGGACCGACACUGACGCUGAGGAGCGAAAGCGUGGGGAGCGAUCCGG
rnacentral:rRNA from 1 species